GACGAACGCUGGCGGCGUGCUUAACACAUGCAAGUCGAACGAGAGGAGAAGGAAGCUUGCUUCUUUCGAAUCUAGUGGCAAACGGGUGAGUAACACGUAAACAACCUGCCUUCAGGAUGGGGACAACAGACGGAAACGACUGCUAAUACCGAAUACGUUCCUUAGGUCGCAUGACUUUAGGAAGAAAGGGUGGCCUCUACUUGUAAGCUAUCGCCUGAAGAGGGGUUUGCGUCUGAUUAGGUAGUUGGUGAGGUAACGGCCCACCAAGCCGACGAUCAGUAGCCGGACUGAGAGGUUGAACGGCCACAUUGGAACUGAGAUACGGUCCAGACUCCUACGGGAGGCAGCAGUGGGGAAUAUUGGGCAAUGGGCGAAAGCCUGACCCAGCGACGCCGCGUGAGGGAAGAAGGUCUUCGGAUUGUAAACCUUAAAUAACAGGGACGAAAGAAAUGACGGUACCUGUUGGGAAGCCACGGCUAACUACGUGCCAGCAGCCGCGGU
rnacentral:rRNA from 1 species